rnacentral:rRNA from 2 species
UACGUAGGGUGCGAGCGUUGUCCGGAAUUACUGGGCGUAAAGAGCUCGUAGGCGGUUUGUCACGUCGUCUGUGAAAUCCUAGGGCUUAACCCUGGACGUGCAGGCGAUACGGGCUGACUUGAGUACUACAGGGGAGACUGGAAUUUCUGGUGUAGCGGUGGAAUGCACAGAUAUCAGGAAGAACACCGAUGGCGAAGGCAGGUCUCUGGGUAGUAACUGACGCUGAGGAGCGAAAGCAUGGGUAGCGAAC